CUUUCUUGCUGGCGACCGGCGCACGGGUGAGUAACACGUAUCCAACCUGCCCUUUACUCGGGGAUAGCCUUUCGAAAGAAAGAUUAAUACCCGAUGGCAUAAUGAUUCCGCAUGGUUUCAUUAUUAAAGGAUUCCGGUAAAGGAUGGGGAUGCGUUCCAUUAGGUUGUUGGUGAGGUAACGGCCCACCAAGCCUUCGAUGGAUAGGGGUUCUGAGAGGAAGGUCCCCCACAUUGGAACUGAGACACGGUCCAA
rnacentral:rRNA from 1 species